rnacentral:rRNA from 1 species
UCAGAUUGAACGCUGCGGCAGGCCUAACACAUGCAAGUCGAGCGGAUGAAGGGAGCUUGCUCCUGGAUUCAGCGGCGGACGGGKGAGUAAUGCCUAGGAAUCUGCCUGGUAGUGGGGGAUAACGUCCGGAAACGGGCGCUAAUACCGCAUACGUCCUGAGGGAGAAAGUGGGGGAUCUUCGGACCUCRCGCUAUCAGAUGAGCCUAGGUCGGAUUAGCUAGUUGGUGGGGUAAAGGCCUACCAAGGCGACGAUCCGUAACUGGUCUGAGAGGAUGAUCAGUCACACUGGAACUGAGACACGGUCCAGACUCCUACGGGAGGCAGCAGUGGGGAAUAUUGGACAAUGGGCGAAAGCCUGAUCCAGCCAUGCCGCGUGUGUGAAGAAGGUCUUCGGAUUGUAAAGCACUUUAAGUUGGGAGGAAGGGCAGUAAGUUAAUACCUUGCUGUUUUGACGUUACCAACAGAAUAAGCACCGGCUAACUUCGUGCCAGCAGCCGCGGUAAUACGAAGGGUGCAAGCGUUAAUCGGAAUUACUGGGCGUAAAGCGCGCGUAGGUGGUUCAGCAAGUUGGAUGUGAAAUCCCCGGGCUCAACCUGGGAACUGCAUCCAAAACUACUGAGCUAGAGUACGGUAGAGGGUGGUGGAAUUUCCUGUGUAGCGGUGAAAUGCGUAGAUAUAGGAAGGAACACCAGUGGCGAAGGCGACCACCUGGACUGAUACUGACACUGAGGUGCGAAAGCGUGGGGAGCAAACAGGAUUAGAUACCCUGGUAGUCCACGCCGUAAACGAUGUCGACUAGCCGUUGGGAUCCUUGAGAUCUUAGUGGCGCAGCUAACGCGAUAAGU